GCCGAUCCUGUACAUCUCUCUAUAUGCUGAUUGGCAAAAUGGGUCUUAUUUUGAUUCUCUUAACUAAUUUAUCAAUAAGGCACAUGCAGCUCUAAGUAAGGACAUUUACAAUGCUCCACCGGGUUGAGUGGCAUCAAGGAUCCACGCACGUCGCAUUCAAACAUGUAGGGUGGAGGAGAGAGGAAAGAGAAUGAGUAUGAUUUCGCAUGUGUCAGAGUGACAUGUAGAGAACACAUGCAACUUGGGGGAGAGAACUAUCAAUUGAGAGAGAAAGGGAAAGGGGAAGGAUGAUCACGUAGGGUACCAUAGAAAAGCCUCAUGCCCAGCUGAAGUCAACCAUUGUCAUGGCCGUCGAGCUUAGAUCCGAUGGCAUUGGAUGCUGUCGAUGCUUGAUCUGGUGAUCUUGGAUGCCGUCGACAGCCUGAACGAAACGACGGUGUUGCCAUGGCUACCAUAUGAUGGCAUCAUGGGGUGUCGUGGAGCGGGGGCGAAGAGGAGAAAGCGUACCUGGAGCAAUGUCAAUGGAAGAGAGCGAUCAAUGAAGGAGAUUGGCCUGACCUAAUUGAUCCAAGACGCUAACGACAGGAAACUCUAUGCUCGACCAGGUGACCUUGGAUACUGCUAACUAGAUCUUGUGAUCUUAGCCAAUAGCCCAAGCAAAACGAUGGUGCCGCCAUGGCAGCCGAAUGGCAGCAUCAUGCGGUAUCAUGGCAAUGAGGAGAAAUUGUGGCGCAGGGUGAAAAGGAGAAACAUGGAGCAAUAGCGACAAAAAAGAGAAGUGCUGAUUAAAGUCAAAAGGAGGAUAGUGCUUAUGAUGACCAGAGUUAUAUAUAUAAAUGGCUGGUGUUAAAAUAAAAGUAAAGGAUGUAUAUGGCUAAUCUAUAAACUUGAAGGUACCUCUAGAAGCUACUUCUCAUUGUGUGGCAUGAUUUUUUUUGUGUGUGUGUGGAUAUAAGCUGAUUUUUCUCAUGAGACCAACACCAUGAGGACACUCCCUAUUGUGAAUGUUGUACUUGCAAUAGGCACGCAUGUAAGAAGACCUUAAAUGAGACUUUCCUUAUACAGGACCCCUAAAUAAAAAUAUUGUAGUAUGAACAAAUUUAAUUUUUGGGUUAAUGGUUGUAUGGAAAUAGUCUUUAAUUUGAUGGUGUAGGUAAUUUAGAAGGUAGACUCAACUAUCGAACAUACACCCUUAUUAUGUAUUGUGGCUCUAAUAUAAUGCUCUAGCUAUAACACUACUAUAGAAAAUGACUUUAGUGUCGACUCGUAACCUCUCAUCAGUGGCAGAAAUAGGAACAGAACUAAACUUUCGGCAGUAAUGAGGGGAUGUCAUUAUUGCCGGAUUGAGAACUGGCAUGGAUUGUUCCCACAACCCAAAAGAAUAGUCGGUUUGAUGAAUCAGUCGAUUCAUCGAGCCAAUUCUUCAAGCAUCCACCCAUACCCUCAGAUUUCCUAAGAUACCUUAGUCAACAUAAACAAAUAGAAAAAGGGGCAUAUCUAGAUCAAGAUCAACAUCACCAGUAUAUAUCACAUCACCAACAGAUCAUCAACAUGUUCAUCAAAAAAUCAUCAAGUCCAACAUGAUGCAUCAACAAAUAUCGACAGAUCGCAUGCAAGAUCAUCCUAGAUAUAAAAAAAAAUCAAGAAUCUACUAACCAUUCCAAGCAAAAGUGCAGGUUGUAGCGGUGAUCAUCCUCAGAGAAGGCGCCGUUGGUGCAGUAGUCCUCAGGGCUAGUGGCCACCUCUAUCACCCGUGCAUGAAGAGCCGCAAGGAGGAGGGUGGACAUAGAGGAGAGAGUCAAACGGUGGAGGAAUGCAGGGCGGUGAGAUCAGAGGCCCUAGUCCUCUAGGCAGCUGGAUCUGGUGUCCCCCAUCCUCUAGCUAGUCAGAUCCAGUGACCCAUGAUGAAGGAGAGAGGAAGGACAAUGUAA
rnacentral:lncRNA from 1 species